rnacentral:lncRNA from 1 species
GGAUGGAGUCAAUUCCAAACGGGAGAGGGAGAAACGAGGAGUGCUCUGUUAGCUGGACACAGGGGAUGAGGAUGAAGUUUCGGAUGGAGAAGGAUGCGGACGCGAGAUGAACUCGAGACGUUGGGAAAACUGGACUCUAUUUUGAAGCUUAAAAUAGGGGAGGAAAGGGAUGACGUGGAAGCUUGUUCUCUAAGCACUUAAAGGGUGACGUGGACAUGGGUUCAGCUGCAAACGUGACCUGCACACAUUAGUUCAGACAUCAUCCCAAUUAGUUCGACUCGACCUGCACACAUUAAACUUGACCAAUAAAUAAAUAAGUAAAACACUAAUUAUCUUUAAUUUAUUAAAAUGCAAUGAUGAAGGUAACACAAUUUUUUUAGUUAAAUAUUCAAAAUAUGUGAAUUAAAAUAAUGAUAAGUGCUAUGAAUAAGAUAUUAAUUUAUGCAUUAUUUAGCACUUAUCACACCCCCCAACCUACAUUUUGCUAGUCCUCAAGCAAAAUAAAAAAAACUAACUCACUUUCGUAGGAAUCGCGAUUGCAUUUACCGUAUGCAAUAAGGCUUUAAACCCCUAGGUGGCCCUAGUGGACGAGUUUUGUCUCGUGCGGGUU